UAUCUGAACCAUCUCUGAAAUAAUCAAAUGUCGUAUCCGUUUUUUGUGAUCGAAAGGCUUUCAAAGAAAGAUCAGACAAUGGUAAGACAUACAAACAUUUUACAGUUUCCCCAUCCGUCCUGGCAAGCGAAUAAAUGUCAUGAUAAAUGUCAACAAUCAGAAGCAACAAUCUAUUGCAGAUUAUGUAAAUGGAAGGUUUCCACCUAUGCCAGUGAUGGAAUAUAAAAGCAUAUGCGAGAUCAAAUUAGAAUACACAGAGAAAACAAUACACCCAUGGAUGAUAUAAAUCACUUAAAAAUGUCAGUUUUGAUGUUUCAUACUAUGAAGCUGAUUAUUCAGAGAGAUCUUUACCAGCCAGUGCUACACAUCACGGACAAUCUUUCCACUGUAAGAUCAAAGGUUGUGCAAAAGAAGCUACCGUGACCUAAUUGACCAACCACUAAAGCGUUUUUAUCAAACAUAAAAGAUAACAAAUCUUCUCUAAACAUGUCACAGCUCCGCAGAAUGAUGAAUAUGUCAAGAUGCUGAAGAUUGUUCAGCUUGAGAGAAAGGUGAACACUCAGGCUGUGGAUAUUGAACAUAGGGGCAAGAUGAAUUGCAGUUCUGGAAGAGGAACUGAAUCGUUUGCAAGAGGCAAAAGAUAAAUCUACAAGUAAUGAGAACCAAGAUGAAGAACUGGUUAAACUGUGCCUCUGGCUUCAAAACCCUAGUGAGCAACUUUGAGAGAUUUCUUUUCAUUCAACCGGUUACGUACGUGAAUGUUUGUUAUGCUUUGCAGACAACAAAAGAGUUAAUUCCUGUAUAAUUACAACAAAAUAGUUAUUGUCAACUCAACAGAAUGGCUUUUUCCCACCCACACGGAAGUUUCUAAAUAAUUAUGGAAUUAUCGGAGUUGGAAGCUGCAAAGAACAUGAUGAGCAGACCAACAGACAACUUCCUAGCAACUAAUGCACACAAGACUUUAGAAAUGAAAUUUGACCUGGUCCUGCAUGCAUUUAUUUGUUCUGCAGAACAUCCAGGUUAUGAAUUUCGUAGCAGGGGAAGGAGAACCCCUGUGACCGCUGCUCCUGGUGGACCCAAACUCACCCAGCAGCUUCCAUACCUCUUUGGCUCUACAAAAAUGGCAUUGUGAUGUUCAGUAGUCCAUUCCACUCCAAUCAAGACCCAAGCACACGUGUUCAGUUAUUUUCCUGCUUUAUAUCUUACAUCACUUAGUUUGACUACAUAAAUACCAUAUAUUUUCCACAGUCAGCUUCCGUUUACUGAUGAAACAUCAAGAUUUGUCGUUCCUUUUAAGUUUUGCCUUCUUGAAUGCACGCAGGACUUGAUGGAUGGGUUUUUUCCUGAACUUCAGGAAAGGUUUUCUGAUGUGACCUUCCUGGUGUGGACUGUGAAUCCAUAAAGUUUUCAUCAUUAGGAUUACUAUUGCUCAUUUUUAGGAUAAUGGAUUGAACAAAUCCCUAACCCUACACAACUUUAGUUGGUAAUAUUUUUAAAUGUUUUAGAAAAUCUCUUAAGCUCACCAAGGCUGCAUUAUUUUAUCUAAAAAUACAGUAAAGAUUAAUAUUAUUAUUAAUACUUAAGACAUCUGUGCUGCAUAAUAUUUUUGUGGAAACUAUACAUUUUUUCAGGAUUUUCUAAUGAAUAGAAAGUUGAAAAGAACAGCAUUAAUUUGAACAUUAUAUACUUUCAUAUUGUACUUUUGUGCAUUAGAAAUGUCUUUACAGCCUUUUACGAUCAAUUCAA